CACGACUACAUUAGAUACCCGCGUAGUCCUAGCCGUAAACGAUACUCGCUAGGUGUCGGCCACGGUGCGACCGUUGUCGGUGCCGUAGGGAAGCCGUGAAGCGAGCCACCUGGGAAGUACGGCCGCAAGGCUGAAACUUAAAGGAAUUGGCGGGGGAGCACCACAACGGGUGGAGCUUGCGGUUUAAUUGGAUUCAACGCCGGAAAUCUUACCGGGACCGACAGCAACAUGAAGGCCAGGCUGAAGACUUUGCCGGAUUAGCUG
rnacentral:rRNA from 1 species